GUUCUCAAAUGAAGUCAAUAUCUCCAUCAUCAUCCAACAACUAAAAGCAGAGAAAAACCUAAUAUUGCAAGGAAAAAUAGAAUAGCAAUGAUCCUAAGAUCUGUACCAGACAUUAUCUUUCACCCUGAACUAUCCUAUCACUGAUCUCAAAAUGGCAGAUGAAAACGAUUUGAAAUAUGGAAAUAUACUAAUGAUUCUUUAAAAGAAAAGAGUUACUUACUCCAAGAGGUUCAUAUAAUAAAUGCAGGUCUUCAUAAUCAACGCUUUGAUUAGUGGAAAAACAAUGCACGAAAUUAAAGAGUAAAGACGAAGGAACCUUUCAGAUUCACUGAUUGUUCUUCCACUGUUCCAAUCGUCCUUCUCCAUCGCUUCCCAAACUCUUAGUUUGUCUUCAUUUGAUUCUGUAAAUUAUAUCAUAUGAUUCAUAUCUUUAUUAUGUUAUAAAUCAAGAACAGUAUAAGUAAGUGAUUGUAAGCAACUCGUGAUUCAGGCAAAAUCAUGAUAAAUUCAAUCUUCUUUCUUGCCUAAAUCGCGCUAGUAUAAAGAAAGAUGUAAAUUUUAGUAAAAAUGUACAGGACAUGAAACAAGUUGAAGAUUAUUUAUAUGCUUCUCCCAACCGUUUUACAAGAAAGAGAGCUUUUGACAGUGUAAUUCUAGUUGUUAUGCAUGCUGCAUGAUCCACUGCAUUAUGUCUUUACGAAUGACGCCCUCCUCUAAACCCACUCUUCUUCUCCCAAUACUCAAGAACCUCUGCUGAAUCACGACCCCGGAUGGCCUCAUCAUUGUCUUCUCAAACGGUCUCGACCAAACAUUUCCAGAUGCAG